GACUGGGGAGGGCCGGGUGAAUCUCUGUGUUUGAGGAGCUGAGAGGCAACACUCUGGGUGGAAAAAAGGCUCAGAGACUUGUUUGGAAGCUGCAUUUGCAGAGUAAAGCACUUUUUGAUAUAUGCAUCUAGUGUGGCCUGGAGCAAUGCUGAUAGAGAUUGUGAGGUAUACUUGAGGCCAACAACAAGGAACACAUAAUCUGGUCUCAGGAAACAUUUUGCAUCAUCUGGUAAAGGGAUUUCUGCCUCAUCAGAUUACAGACUACAUGUGAAGCCUUGAAGAUAGCUCCAAGGAGAUGCGUGAGCACAAGGCAGUGUCCUCACAGUGAGCUAGGAAGAGGCUUGCGCUGUCACUGCCAGUCCCU
rnacentral:lncRNA from 1 species